CUUGGUCAUUUAGAGGAAGUAAAAGUCGUAACAAGGUUUCCGUAGGUGAACCUGCGGAAGGAUCAUUAGUGAACGCCCUCACGGGCUUAUAACUAUUCCAAACCUCUGUGAACCGUGCCCUUCGGGGCUAUUUUACGAACAUGGUGUAAUGAACGUCAUAUAUCAUAACAAAACAAAACUUUCAACAACGGAUCUCUUGGCUCUCGCAUCGAUGAAGAACGCAGCGAAAUGCGAUAAGUAAUGUGAAUUGCAGAAUUCAGUGAAUCAUCGAAUCUUUGAACGCACCUUGCGCCCUCUGGUAUUCCGGAGGGCAUGCCUGUUUGAGUGUCAUGUAGACUCAAUCCCUCGGGUUUCCGAGGAGAUUGGACUUGGGUGUUGCCGCUCUGCCGGCUCGCCUUAAAAGACUUAGCGGGAUAGCACCGUAGUCGGCGUAAUAAGUUUCGUCGGUGAAGGUUGUGAUGACUGCUUACAAUCGCCCUCGGGCAAUUUUUGACUCUGACCUCAAAUCAGGUAGGACUACCCGCUGAACUUAAGCAUAUCAAUAAGCGGAGGA
rnacentral:rRNA from 1 species